GAUAAACGCUGGCGGCGCACAUAAGACAUGCAAGUCGAACGGACUUAACCUAUAGUUUACUAUUGGAGCGGUUAGUGGCGGACUGGUGAGUAACGCGUAAGCAAUCUGCCUAUCAGAGGGGAAUAACAGUGAGAAAUCACUGCUAAUACCGCAUAAGCUGUGAGUAUCGCAUGAUACAAGCAGAAAAGGAGCAAUCCGCUGAUAGAUGAGCUUGCGUCUGAUUAGCUAGUUGGCGGGGUAACGGCCCACCAAGGCGACGAUCAGUAGCCGGACUGAGAGGUUGAACGGCCACAUUGGGACUGAGACACGGCCCAG
rnacentral:rRNA from 1 species